UCCCUGGUGGCUCAGAGGUUAAAGCGUCUGCCUGCAAUGUGGAAGAACCGGGUUCGAUCCCUGGAUCGGGAA
rnacentral:tRNA from 1 species